UGGGGAAUAUUGCACAAUGGGGGAAACCCUGAUGCAGCGACGCCGCGUGAGCGAAGAAGGUUUUCGAAUCGUAAAGCUCUGUCCUAUGAGAAGAUAAUGACGGUAUCAUAGGAGGAAGCCCCGGCUAACUACGUGCCAGCAGCCGCGGUAAUACGUAGGUGGCAAGCGUUGUCCGGAAUUAUUGGGCGUAAAGCGCGCGCAGGUGGUUUAGAAAGUCUGAUGUGAAAGCCCACGGCUCAACCGUGGAGGGUCAUUGGAAACUAAUAAACUUGAGUGCAGGAGAGAAAAGUGGAAUUCCUAGUGUAGCGGUGAAAUGCGUAGAGAUUAGGAGGAACACCGGUGGCGAAAGCGGCUUUUUGGCCUGCAACUGACACUGAGGCGCGAAAGCGUGGGGAGCAAACAGG
rnacentral:rRNA from 1 species